rnacentral:rRNA from 1 species
UACGGAGGGGGCUAGCGUUGUUCGGAAUUACUGGGCGUAAAGCGCACGUAGGCGGAACAGAAAGUCAGAGGUGAAAUCCCAGGGCUCAACCUUGGAACUGCCUUUGAAACUCCUGUUCUUGAGGUCGAGAGAGGUGAGUGGAAUUCCGAGUGUAGAGGUGAAAUUCGUAGAUAUUCGGAGGAACACCAGUGGCGAAGGCGGCUCACUGGCUCGAUACUGACGCUGAGGUGAGAAAGCGUGGGGAGCAAACAGG